UACAGAGGGGGCAAGCGUUGUUCGGAAUUACUGGGCGUAAAGGGCGCGUAGGCGGCCCGCUAAGUCGAACGUGAAAUCCCCGAGCUCAACUCGGGAACUGCGUCCGAUACUGGUGGGCUUGAAUCCGGGAGAGGGAUGCGGAAUUCCAGGUGUAGCGGUGAAAUUCGUAGAUAUCAAGCGGAACACCGGUGGCGAAGGCGGCCUUCUGGACAGUGACUGACGCUGAGACGCGAAAGCGUGGGGAGCAAACAGG
rnacentral:rRNA from 1 species